rnacentral:tRNA from 1 species
CCGGUUUUAGCUCAGUGGUAGAGCAGCUGACUGUAGUUUGUCAAAAGUCAUCAGCUGGUCGCUAGUUCAAUCCUGGCAAACCGGA